CCAGAGAGAGGCCAGCUUUCUUCAGCUCUACCAUCCUUGUGAAAUCCCCAAGCUCAAUCAAAGGGCUCAUUGUCCAGGGACAGUGAGUUGGAGAGGGUGUGGUUGGAAACAUAAUGCUGUGCUUAUAAUGUGUUAAUGAAAGCCCUGCAGCUGUUGAAACUGCCCCAGAGAGAAGCAAAUACUGUAAAAGGAAAAAAUGCCAAGGAGAAAGACAUGAGGACAAUAGAAAUGAAAGGGAGGAAUCACAGCCAGAUCCGGAGCCAUUUGCAGUCACUGUUAGUUUGGAGAGAAAUGAACGGAAACAAGAAGGA
rnacentral:lncRNA from 1 species